rnacentral:lncRNA from 10 species
AUCCAGUAGAUCUCAGUGGAAAGCCCAACAGUAACAGGUGCACCCACGGGCUCCAGGGGAAGGGGCCCCAACCCCUGGUGAAGGAGGUCGGGGCAGAGCCAGCUCCCCCAGCUGGGGGUGCAGGGGUGAGGGGAGACCCCCCUGUAGGCCCGUCCUGCGGGGUAAGGAGGGGGCACGGGGGUGGGACAGGUUGGGGGUGGGGGGCAGGCAAGUGCCAAGGCCAGGAGCCUGUCCUUUCAGGGCUGCCCCACACCGUCCACACCCAGUGGUCAGGCAGAGGGAGAAAGGGGCUGGCGGCUUCUCCAGUGGGAGGGAGGGGAAGGCAGGCCUUGGAAAGUUAGUACUUCACAGUUUUAAAGAGAAAACUGAGGAGGAAAAGGCUGAGGAGGAGAACUGGGGGGCACAGGGACAUGAAAGGAGAGUGGGGGCCCCUUCCGAGCCACUCCCUCCCCCGGACCCACCCCCUCCAGCUCUGGAUCCAGCUCCCCCCAAUACACAGCACAAAUUCCUUCAGUAUAAAUGUGCUUAAAAUGAAAAUUCUUAUUAAAAAAAUCAAAACAAAAAAAUUAAAAUAAAAACAAAACCAG